rnacentral:tRNA from 1 species
GGAGCGGUAGUUCAGUUGGUUAAAAUACCUGCCUGUCACGCAGGGGGGGGCGCGGGUUCGAGCCCCGUCCGUUCCG